CCACCUCUGUAAUGUGAAAUGGAGGUCUGGAUGGGGGUCAGUACACAGGUUUAGGUGGGGCAGGACUGCAGUAGAUGAACAUGAAUAUUUUAUUCACGUCUCCGAUUGCCUUUCAUCCAGCAUCCGUCAGUGUGCCAACUUCACUGAUGAGAAUCAGAGAGAGAGAAGUACUAUUUGAAGAGCUAGAUGGAGCAGGGAGCUGAUGCCUUCUGACCGAUGACAUGUACAAACCAAUGUAUAUGGGAAUUACUCUGCAAAACAGCUGGAUUGGAGUUGUUUCAGAAAAUACCUGUAAUUCAACUGUAGUAUGCUGAAAUCACCCGGAGAAAUAUCAGUGUGAAGCGUGAGAGAGGACUUGUGGGAGGGAUCUAUUGAUGCGUGGGAGGGAUCUAUUGAUGCGUGGGAGGGAGUCGGUGCUGAAGGGUGAAGUAACUUCGCUGUGAGCUCAGUUGAACGGAAGACGUUGUCUGCUGAAAGAUUAAAGACGAGAAAGGAAGAGUUUGUGUGUGUGUGUGUAGCGGUGUGAGGGAUGCCUCGGCGUAGCCGGGCCCGUGACAACGGGGCUGAGGUGAGCCAGCGAACCCCCCGAGGAAGGAGAAAAGACCCCCAAGUUGAGGAGCCUUCCACACCCACCAGAGAGGCCACAGGAUCUAUGAUGCCACAGGAUCGGUUGCCUAUGAUUGGCUCCUCUGGGAGUAAGCCAGCAGCCAAGCCGACUAUGACAACCCACCAGCGCCCCUCUCAGGCCGCACGGAGGAAGCGCACCCAGACGGGCCAGACCUCCGCCAACCUUCCCCAGGACAGCAUGACCCCGUGGGGCGGACUGUCCCUAUCCGAAUCCUCCUUCACCAGCAUCCCUCCGCCGCCGCCCGCCCCUCUCCCCACACCCCUGCCCCCCCAACUCCCCCGUCACCUGUCGGGGGGUGUCGGUGUCCGGAGCCCUGCCCCCUCACCCCCAGUCACAGCGCCCACAGAGGGGAGCAGGGCUGUGAGGGUGAGGCGCAGGGUGCCCCCCCAGCACAGGCUCCCCCGUGCCCCCCGCUUGCCCCCACUCAGACCCGUCNNNNNNNNNNCGGGCCAGACCUCCGCCAACCUUCCCCAGGACAGCAUGACCCCGUGGGGCGGACUGUCCCUAUCCGAAUCCUCCUUCACCAGCAUCCCUCCGCCGCCGCCCGCCCCUCUCCCCACACCCCUGCCCCCCCAACUCCCCCGUCACCUGUCGGGGGGUGUCGGUGUCCGGAGCCCUGCCCCCUCACCCCCAGUCACAGCGCCCACAGAGGGGAGCAGGGCUGUGAGGGUGAGGCGCAGGGUGCCCCCCCAGCACAGGCUCCCCCGUGCCCCCCGCUUGCCCCCACUCAGACCCG
rnacentral:lncRNA from 13 species